UACGUAGGUGGCAAGCGUUGUCCGGAUUUACUGGGCGUAAAGAGCGCGCAGGCGGUUGUUCAAGUCGGGUGUGAAAGCCCCCGGCUCAACUGGGGAGGGUCACGCGAUACUGAUCGACUGGAAGGCAGGAGAGGGUAGUGGAAUUCCCGGUGUAGUGGUGAAAUGCGUAGAUAUCGGGAGGAACACCAGUGGCGAAGGCGACUACCUGGCCUGUUCUUGACGCUGAGGCGCGAAAGCUAGGGGAGCAAACGGG
rnacentral:rRNA from 1 species